rnacentral:rRNA from 1 species
AGAGUUUGAUCCUGGCUCAGGAUGAACGCUAGCUACAGGCUUAACACGUGCAAGUCGAGGGGCAGCAUGGUCUUAGCUUGCUAAGACCGAUGGCGACCGGCGCACGGGUGAGUAACGCGUAUCCAACCUGCCUUACACUCUUGGACAGCCUUCUGAAAGGGAGAUUAAUACAAGAUGUUAUCAUGAGUAAGCAUUUUCACAUGAUUAAAGGUUACCGGUGUAAGAUGGGGAUGCGUUCCAUUAGAUAGUAGGCGGGGUAACGGCCACCUAGUCUUCGAUGGAUAGGGGUUCUGAGAGGAAGGUCCCCCANAUUGGAACUGAGACACGGUCCAAACUUCUACGGGAGGCA